AUUGAACGCUGGCGGCAUGCCUUAUACAUGCAAGUCGAGCGGCCGCACGGGUGCUUGCACCCUGUGGCGAGUGCCGAGCGGGUGAGAAUUACAUCGGGAUAUGUCAUGUAGUGGGGGAUAGCAAGGCGAAAGCCGGAUUACUAAUGCAUAAGAACUUUGUAUGCAAGAUGGGUAACUACGGGACUCGCGCUAUAGUGUUGGUUGAUGGUUGAUUCGCUCGUUAGUGGGUAGUUGGUCUGGUAAAGGCCUACCAAGGAAACGGUCAGUAGCUGACCUGAGAGGGUGACCAGCCACACUGGGACUGAGACACGGCCCAGACUCCUACGGGAGGCAGCAGUGGGGAAUUUUGCGCAAUGGGCGAAAGCCUGAUCCAGCAAUGCCGCGUGUGUGAAGAAGGCCUUCGGAUUGUAAAGCACUGUUGUCCGGGAAGAAAACCUGGGCACUAAUACGUUCAGAUGAUGACGGUACCGGAAGAGUAAGCACCGGCUAACUACGUG
rnacentral:rRNA from 1 species